GAUGAACGCUAGCGGCAGGCUUAAUACAUGCAAGUCGAGGGGCAGCGCAGUGUAGCAAUACAUGGGCGGCGACCGGCAAACGGGUGCGGAACACGUACAGAACCUUCCUUUAAGCGGGGGAUAGCCCAGAGAAAAUUGGAUUAAUACCCCAUAGUAUUGUUGAGUGGCAUCACUUGAUGAUUAAAGAUUUAUCACUUAAAGAUGGCUGUGCGGCUGAUUAGGUAGUUGGCGGGGUAAUGGCCCACCAAGCCUUCGAUCAGUAACUGGUGUGAGAGCACGACCAGUCACACGGGCACUGAGACACGGGCCCGACUCCUACGGGAGGCAGCAGUAAGGAAUAUUGGGCAAUGGACGCAAGUCUGACCCAGCCAUGCCGCGUGGAGGAUGAAGGUCCUCUGGAUUGUAAACUUCUUUUAUUUGGGAAGAAACCCGGAUUUUCUAAUUCGGUUGACGGUACCAGAUGAAUAAGCACCGGCUAACUCCGUGCCAGCAGCCGCAGUAAAAC
rnacentral:rRNA from 1 species